rnacentral:rRNA from 1 species
AGUGGCGAACGGGUGAGUAACGCGUGAGUAUCUGCCCUUAGGAGGGGGACAACAGUUGGAAACGACUGCUAAUACCCCAUAUGUCUACGGAUGAAAGAUUUUAUCGCCUGAGGAUGAGUUCGCGUCUGAUUAGCUAGUUGGUGAGGUAAAGGCUCACCAAGGCGACGAUCAGUAGCUGGUCUGAGAGGAUGAUCAGCCACACUGGGACUGAGACACGGCCCAGACUCCUACGGGAGGCAGCAGUGGGGAAUUUUCCGCAAUGGGGGCAACCCUGACGGAGCAAUACCGCGUGCGGGAGGACGGCCUGUGGGUUGUAAACCGCUUUUCUCAGGGAAGAAGACCUGACGGUACCUGAGGAAUCAGCAUCGGCUAACUCCGUGCCAGCAGCCGCGGUAAUACGGAGGAUGCAAGCGUUAUCCGGAAUUAUUGGGCGUAAAGCGUCCGUAGGUGGUUAAUCAAGUCUGCUGUUAAAGAGCGGAGCUUAACUCCGUUUAAGCGGUGGAAACUGGUUGACUAGAGAGUGGUAGGGGUAGAGGGAAUUCCCAGUGUAGCGGUGAAAUGCGUAGAUAUUGGGAAGAACACCGGUGGCGAAAGCGCUCUACUGGGCCACAUCUGACACUGAUGGACGAAAGCUAGGGGAGCGAAAGGGAUUAGAUACCCC